UUAAGCGACUAAGCGUACACGGUGGAUGCCCUGGCAGUCAGAGGCGAUGAAGGACGUGCUAAUCUGCGAUAAGCGUCGGUGAGGUGAUAUGAACCGUUAUAACCGGCGAUUUCCGAAUGGGGAAACCCAGUGUGUUUCGACACACUAUCAUUAACUGAAUCCAUAGGUUAAUGAGGCGAACCGGGGGAACUGAAACAUCUAAGUACCCCGAGGAAAAGAAAUCAACCGAGAUUCCCCCAGUAGCGGCGAGCGAACGGGGAGGAGCCCAGAGCCUGAAUCAGUGUGUGUGUUAGUGGAAGCGUCUGGAAAGGCGUGCGAUACAGGGUGACAGCCCCGUACACAAAAAUGCACAUAUUGUGAGCUCGAUGAGUAGGGCGGGACACGUGGUAUCCUGUCUGAAUAUGGGGGGACCAUCCUCCAAGGCUAAAUACUCCUGACUGACCGAUAGUGAACCAGUACCGUGAGGGAAAGGCGAAAAGAACCCCGGCGAGGGGAGUGAAAAAGAACCUGAAACCGUGUACGUACAAGCAGUGGGAGCCUCUUAAUGGGGUGACUGCGUACCUUUUGUAUAAUGGGUCAGCGACUUAUAUUCUGUAGCAAGGUUAACCGAAUAGGGGAGCCGAAGGGAAACCGAGUCUUAACUGGGCGUUAAGUUGCAGGGUAUAGACCCGAAACCCGGUGAUCUAGCCAUGGGCAGGUUGAAGGUUGGGUAACACUAACUGGAGGACCGAACCGACUAAUGUUGAAAAAUUAGCGGAUGACUUGUGGCUGGGGGUGAAAGGCCAAUCAAACCGGGAGAUAGCUGGUUCUCCCCGAAAGCUAUUUAGGUAGCGCCUCGUGAAUUCAUCUCCGGGGGUAGAGCACUGUUUCGGCAAGGGGGUCAUCCCGACUUACCAACCCGAUGCAAACUGCGAAUACCGGAGAAUGUUAUCACGGGAGACACACGGCGGGUGCUAACGUCCGUCGUGAAGAGGGAAACAACCCAGACCGCCAGCUAAGGUCCCAAAGUCAUGGUUAAGUGGGAAACGAUGUGGGAAGGCCCAGACAGCCAGGAUGUUGGCUUAGAAGCAGCCAUCAUUUAAAGAAAGCGUAAUAGCUCACUGGUCGAGUCGGCCUGCGCGGAAGAUGUAACGGGGCUAAACCAUGCACCGAAGCUGCGGCAGCGACACUAUGUGUUGUUGGGUAGGGGAGCGUUCUGUAAGCCUGUGAAGGUGGCCUGUGAGGGUUGCUGGAGGUAUCAGAAGUGCGAAUGCUGACAUAAGUAACGAUAAAGCGGGUGAAAAGCCCGCUCGCCGGAAGACCAAGGGUUCCUGUCCAACGUUAAUCGGGGCAGGGUGAGUCGACCCCUAAGGCGAGGCCGAAAGGCGUAGUCGAUGGGAAACAGGUUAAUAUUCCUGUACUUGGUGUUACUGCGAAGGGGGGACGGAGAAGGCUAUGUUGGCCGGGCGACGGUUGUCCCGGUUUAAGCGUGUAGGCUGGUUUUCCAGGCAAAUCCGGAAAACCAAGGCUGAGGCGUGAUGACGAGGCACUACGGUGCUGAAGCGACAAAUGCCCUGCUUCCAGGAAAAGCCUCUAAGCAUCAGGUAACAUCAAAUCGUACCCCAAACCGACACAGGUGGUCAGGUAGAGAAUACCAAGGCGCUUGAGAGAACUCGGGUGAAGGAACUAGGCAAAAUGGUGCCGUAACUUCGGGAGAAGGCACGCUGAUAUGUAGGUGAAGCGACUUGCUCGUGGAGCUGAAAUCAGUCGAAGAUACCAGCUGGCUGCAACUGUUUAUUAAAAACACAGCACUGUGCAAACACGAAAGUGGACGUAUACGGUGUGACGCCUGCCCGGUGCCGGAAGGUUAAUUGAUGGGGUUAGCGGCAACGCGAAGCUCUUGAUCGAAGCCCCGGUAAACGGCGGCCGUAACUAUAACGGUCCUAAGGUAGCGAAAUUCCUUGUCGGGUAAGUUCCGACCUGCACGAAUGGCGUAAUGAUGGCCAGGCUGUCUCCACCCGAGACUCAGUGAAAUUGAACUCGCUGUGAAGAUGCAGUGUACCCGCGGCAAGACGGAAAGACCCCGUGAACCUUUACUAUAGCUUGACACUGAACAUUGAGCCUUGAUGUGUAGGAUAGGUGGGAGGCUUUGAAGUGUGGACGCCAGUCUGCAUGGAGCCGACCUUGAAAUACCACCCUUUAAUGUUUGAUGUUCUAACGUUGGCCCGUAAUCCGGGUUGCGGACAGUGUCUGGUGGGUAGUUUGACUGGGGCGGUCUCCUCCUAAAGAGUAACGGAGGAGCACGAAGGUUGGCUAAUCCUGGUCGGACAUCAGGAGGUUAGUGCAAUGGCAUAAGCCAGCUUGACUGCGAGCGUGACGGCGCGAGCAGGUGCGAAAGCAGGUCAUAGUGAUCCGGUGGUUCUGAAUGGAAGGGCCAUCGCUCAACGGAUAAAAGGUACUCCGGGGAUAACAGGCUGAUACCGCCCAAGAGUUCAUAUCGACGGCGGUGUUUGGCACCUCGAUGUCGGCUCAUCACAUCCUGGGGCUGAAGUAGGUCCCAAGGGUAUGGCUGUUCGCCAUUUAAAGUGGUACGCGAGCUGGGUUUAGAACGUCGUGAGACAGUUCGGUCCCUAUCUGCCGUGGGCGCUGGAGAACUGAGGGGGGCUGCUCCUAGUACGAGAGGACCGGAGUGGACGCAUCACUGGUGUUCGGGUUGUCAUGCCAAUGGCACUGCCCGGUAGCUAAAUGCGGAAGAGAUAAGUGCUGAAAGCAUCUAAGCACGAAACUUGCCCCGAGAUGAGUUCUCCCUGACUCCUUGAGAGUCCUGAAGGAACGUUGAAGACGACGACGUUGAUAGGCCGGGUGUGUAAGCGCAGCGAUGCGUUGAGCUAACCGGUACUAAUGAACCGUGAGGCUUAACCU
rnacentral:rRNA from 1 species